GGUUGUUCUCCUUUUGGACUCCGUUUAAUUGCCUUAGUUGGUCUUGGUUUCGGUUUUUGGGAUGGGGUUGGCUCUUUGGACCCUUUCCUCUCGUGUGCCUCGUUAUAUUAUGUGUAGCUUGACAAAUGUGUUGAGUUAGCAAAGUUUAUUGUAUGUACCAUGAGGUCCAGAGAGCGAGAGAGACAGAGAGAGACUUUAGCGUAUAGAUUAAGCGCUCUUUUUGGGGCUGCUGAAUUCUCAAGGUUGAUAAUAAAGUGAACUGAAGAUUUUGGCAUGGGUGGGGCUUGGAGAGUCUCAAAUUCCGAAGCACAGAAAUAUGUAUAUCUAAUAAGUUUUACGUAGAUGUUUACCGGGUUCAAUAAUCUUCUUAUUUAUACCCGGUACUCGAAGAGUAAAUAGGGUAUACUGUAUUUGUGCGAAUAAAGGUUGUAUGUAACCCACAGAAGAAAACGUUUCCGACCCCAUAAAGUUUAUAUAUUCUUGAUCAGCAUCAAUAGCCGAGUCGAUAGAGCCAUGUAUGUCUGUCCGUCC
rnacentral:lncRNA from 1 species